AGAGUUUGAUCCUGGCUCAGGAUGAACGCUGGCGGUAUGCUUAACACAUGCAAGUCGAACGGGGUACUUUCGGGUACCUAGUGGCGGACGGGUGAGUAACGCGUGAGAAUCUGGCUAUAGGUUCGGGACAACAUUGGGAAACUGAUGCUAAUACCGGAUGUGCCGAGAGGUGAAAGCUUAAUGCGCCUAUAGAUGAGCUCGCGUCCGAUUAGCUAGUAGGUGAGGUAAGAGCUCACCUAGGCCAUGAUCGGUAGCUGGUCUGAGAGGAUGGCCAGCCACACUGGGACUGAGACACGGCCCAGACUCCUACGGGAGGCAGCAGUGGGGAAUUUUCCGCAAUGGGCGAAAGCCUGACGGAGCAAUACCGCGUGAGGGAGGAAGGCUUUUGGGUCGUAAACCUCUUUUCUCUGGGAAGAAGUUCUGACGGUACCAGAGGAAUCAGCAUCGGCUAACUCCGUGCCAGCAGCCGCGGUAAUACGGAGGAUGCAAGCGUUAUCCGGAAUUAUUGGGCGUAAAGCGUCCGCAGGUGGUUAUUCAAGUCUGCUGUUAAAGCGUGGAGCUUAACUCCAUAUCGGCAGUGGAAACUGGAUGACUAGAGUUCGGUAGGGGUAGCGGGAAUUCCCAGUGUAGCGGUGA
rnacentral:rRNA from 1 species